rnacentral:lncRNA from 1 species
GGUGACUGCUGUGGGGAUCAACUCCCAGACAGGAAUCAUUUUUACCCUCUUAGGGGUACAUGAAGAUGAAGAGGAGGUGAAAAAGAAGAAAGGUAAAAAACAAGGAGUCCCUGAAAAUCGCAACAAAGCAAAGACCCAAGAUGGAGUGGCCUUGGAAAUCCAACCACUCAACAGCCAGGAUGGGGCUGACAAUGAGGAGAAGGAGAAGAAGGUAGUCAAG